CUCUCCUUUAAUAGAUUGACAGAAACCUCUCCUUUAAUAGAUUGACAGAAACCUCUCCUUUAAUAUAUUGACAGAAACCUCUCCUUUAAUAGAUUAACAGGAUGUAGUCUCUAGAACAGUGAUAACAGGUCCCUGAAACCUCUCCUUUAAUAGAUUAACAGGAUGUAGUCUCUAGAACGGUGAUAACAGGUCCCUGAAAUCUCUCCUUUAAUAGAUUGACAGAAACCUCUCCUUUAAUAGAUUGACAGAAACCUCUCCUUUAAUAGAUUGACAGAAACCUCUCCUUUAAUAGAUUGACAGAAACCUCUCCUUUAAUAGAUUGACAGAAACCUCUCCUUUAAUAUAUUGACAGAAACCUCUCCUUUAAUAGAUUGACAGGAUGUAGUCUCUAGAACGGUGAUAACAGGUCAACCUCUCCUUUUAAUAAAACAGAAUGAGUCCUUCAAAGAGUUACCCCCCCAACCCACACACACACAAUCUCUCUCUCACACACACACACACACACACACACACACACAUACACAAACAUUUGUACUGUACAUGAAAGCUUUGCCAAAAUGUAUGACAUAUGCACUCUACCCCCAUCCCUCUGCAUGUUAUCUCCUAGGUAUCCUCUGAUGAGGAACAACCCCCCC
ensembl:lncRNA